CACGUAGAUAAUCUACCCUAGAGUCUGGGAUAACAUUCCGAAAGGAGUGCUAAUACCGGAUAACAAUGAAGGCCUAGUGGCCUUUAUUUGAAAGAUUUAUUGCUUUAGGAUGAGUCUGCGCACCAUUAGCUAGUUGGUAGGGUAAUGGCCUACCAAGGCUUCGAUGGUUAGCGGGUCUGAGAGGAUGAUCCGCCACACCGGAACUGAGACACGGUCCAGACUCCUACGGGAGGCAGCAGUGGGGAAUUUUGCGCAAUGGACGAAAGUCUGACGCAGCAAUACCGCGUGAGUGAAGAAGGCCCUUGGGUCGUAAAGCUCUUUGUUUAGGGGAAUAUAAUGAAGGUACCCUAAGAAUAAGCACCGGCUAA
rnacentral:rRNA from 1 species